rnacentral:rRNA from 1 species
UAGGGAAUAUUGGACAAUGGGGGCAACCCUGAUCCAGCCAUGCCGCGAGAGUGAAGAAGGCCCUCGGGUUGUAAAGCUCUUUUGUCCGGAAAGAAAAGCAUUCGGUGAAUACCCGGAUGUUCUGACGGUACCGGAAGAAUAAGCACCGGCUAACUUCGUGCCAGCAGCCGCGGUAAUACGAAGGGUGCAAGCGUUACUCGGAAUUACUGGGCGUAAAGCGUGCGUAGGUGGUUGUUUAAGUCUGAUGUGAAAGCCCUGGGCUCAACCUGGGAAUGGCAUUGGAAACUGGGCAGCUAGAGUGCGGUAGAGGGUAGUGGAAUUCCCGGUGUAGCAGUGAAAUGCGUAGAGAUCGGGAGGAACAUCUGUGGCGAAGGCGACUGCCUGGACCAGCACUGACACUGAGGCACGAAAGCGUGGGGAGCAAACA